rnacentral:rRNA from 1 species
UUAAGCGACUAAGCGUACACGGUGGAUGCCCUGGCAGUCAGAGGCGAUGAAGGACGUGCUAAUCUGCGAUAAGCGCCGGUAAGGUGAUAUGAACCGUUAUAACCGGCGAUUUCCGAAUGGGGAAACCCAGUGUGUUUCGACACACUAUCAUUACGUGAAUACAUAGCGUAAUGAAGCGAACCGGGGGAACUGAAACAUCUAAGUACCCCGAGGAAAAGAAAUCAACCGAGAUUCCCCAGUAGCGGCGAGCGAACGGGGAGGAGCCCAGAGCCUGAAUCAGCAUGUGUGUUAGUGGAAGCGUCUGGAAAGGCGCGCGAUACAGGGUGACAGCCCCGUACACAAAAGCGCAUGUGCUGUGAGCUCGAUGAGUAGGGCGGGACACGUGGUAUCCUGUCUGAAUAUGGGGGGACCAUCCUCCAAGGCUAAAUACUCCUGACUGACCGAUAGUGAACCAGUACCGUGAGGGAAAGGCGAAAAGAACCCCGGCGAGGGGAGUGAAAAAGAACCUGAAACCGUGUACGUACAAGCAGUGGGAGCACAGGUUUACCUGUGUGACUGCGUACCUUUUGUAUAAUGGGUCAGCGACUUAUAUUCUGUAGCAAGGUUAACCGAAUAGGGGAGCCGUAGGGAAACCGAGUCUUAACCGGGCGUUAAGUUGCAGGGUAUAGACCCGAAACCCGGUGAUCUAGCCAUGGGCAGGUUGAAGGUUGGGUAACACUAACUGGAGGACCGAACCGACUAAUGUUGAAAAAUUAGCGGAUGACCUGUGGCUGGGGGUGAAAGGCCAAUCAAACCGGGAGAUAGCUGGUUCUCCCCGAAAGCUAUUUAGGUAGCGCCUCGUGAAUUCAUCUCCGGGGGUAGAGCACUGUUUCGGCUAGGGGGCCAUCCCGGCUUACCAACCCGAUGCAAACUGCGAAUACCGGAGAAUGUUAUCACGGGAGACACACGGCGGGUGCUAACGUCCGUCGUGAAGAGGGAAACAACCCAGACCGCCAGCUAAGGUCCCAAAGUCAUGGUUAAGUGGGAAACGAUGUGGGAAGGCCCAGACAGCCAGGAUGUUGGCUUAGAAGCAGCCAUCAUUUAAAGAAAGCGUAAUAGCUCACUGGUCGAGUCGGCCUGCGCGGAAGAUGUAACGGGGCUAAACCAUGCACCGAAGCUGCGGCAGCGACACUGUGUGUUGUUGGGUAGGGGAGCGUUCUGUAAGCCUGUGAAGGUGGCCUGUGAGGGUUGCUGGAGGUAUCAGAAGUGCGAAUGCUGACAUAAGUAACGAUAAAGCGGGUGAAAAGCCCGCUCGCCGGAAGACCAAGGGUUCCUGUCCAACGUUAAUCGGGGCAGGGUGAGUCGACCCCUAAGGCGAGGCCGAAAGGCGUAGUCGAUGGGAAACGGGUUAAUAUUCCCGUACUUGGUGUUACUGCGAAGGGGGGACGGAGAAGGCUAUGUUGGCCGGGCGACGGUUGUCCCGGUUUAAGCGUGUAGGCUGGUUUUCCAGGCAAAUCCGGAAAAUCAAGGCUGAGGCGUGACGACGAGGCACUACGGUGCUGAAGCAACAAAUGCCCUGCUUCCAGGAAAAGCCUCUAAGCAUCAGGUAACAUCAAAUCGUACCCCAAACCGACACAGGUGGUCAGGUAGAGAAUACCAAGGCGCUUGAGAGAACUCGGGUGAAGGAACUAGGCAAAAUGGUGCCGUAACUUCGGGAGAAGGCACGCUGACACGUAGGUGAAGUGAUUUACUCAUGGAGCUGAAGUCAGUCGAAGAUACCAGCUGGCUGCAACUGUUUAUUAAAAACACAGCACUGUGCAAACACGAAAGUGGACGUAUACGGUGUGACGCCUGCCCGGUGCCGGAAGGUUAAUUGAUGGGGUCAGCGCAAGCGAAGCUCCUGAUCGAAGCCCCGGUAAACGGCGGCCGUAACUAUAACGGUCCUAAGGUAGCGAAAUUCCUUGUCGGGUAAGUUCCGACCUGCACGAAUGGCGUAAUGAUGGCCAGGCUGUCUCCACCCGAGACUCAGUGAAAUUGAACUCGCUGUGAAGAUGCAGUGUACCCGCGGCAAGACGGAAAGACCCCGUGAACCUUUACUAUAGCUUGACACUGAACAUUGAGCCUUGAUGUGUAGGAUAGGUGGGAGGCUUUGAAGUGUGGACGCCAGUCUGCAUGGAGCCGACCUUGAAAUACCACCCUUUAAUGUUUGAUGUUCUAACGUGGACCCGUUACCCGGGUUGCGGACAGUGUCUGGUGGGUAGUUUGACUGGGGCGGUCUCCUCCUAAAGAGUAACGGAGGAGCACGAAGGUUGGCUAAUCCUGGUCGGACAUCAGGAGGUUAGUGCAAUGGCAUAAGCCAGCUUGACUGCGAGCGUGACGGCGCGAGCAGGUGCGAAAGCAGGUCAUAGUGAUCCGGUGGUUCUGAAUGGAAGGGCCAUCGCUCAACGGAUAAAAGGUACUCCGGGGAUAACAGGCUGAUACCGCCCAAGAGUUCAUAUCGACGGCGGUGUUUGGCACCUCGAUGUCGGCUCAUCACAUCCUGGGGCUGAAGUAGGUCCCAAGGGUAUGGCUGUUCGCCAUUUAAAGUGGUACGCGAGCUGGGUUUAGAACGUCGUGAGACAGUUCGGUCCCUAUCUGCCGUGGGCGCUGGAGAACUGAGGGGGGCUGCUCCUAGUACGAGAGGACCGGAGUGGACGCAUCACUGGUGUUCGGGUUGUCAUGCCAAUGGCACUGCCCGGUAGCUAAAUGCGGAAGAGAUAAGUGCUGAAAGCAUCUAAGCACGAAACUUGCCCCGAGAUGAGUUCUCCCUGAGACUUAAAGUCUCCUGAAGGAACGUUGAAGACGACGACGUUGAUAGGCCGGGUGUGUAAGCGCAGCGAUGCGUUGAGCUAACCGGUACUAAUGAACCGUGAGGCUUAACCUU